rnacentral:rRNA from 1 species
UGGAGCAUGUGGUUUAAUUCGACGCAACGCGAAGAACCUUACCAGGGCUUGACAUCUUCUGACCGCUUAAGGAAACUUAAGCUUUCCGGAAGGUUUACUUUCUGGACAGAAAGACAGGUGGUGCAUGGUUGUCGUCAGCUCGUGUCGUGAGAUGUUGGGUUAAGUCCCGCAACGAGCGCAACCCCUACGGUUAGUUGCUAACGGGUAAGGCCGAGCACUUUAGCCGAACUGCCGUUGACAAAACGGAGGAAGGCGGGAUGACGUCAAAUCAUCAUGCCCUUUAUGUCCUGGGCUACACACGUGCUACAAUGGCCUGUACAAAGGGCAGCAAAGGGGCGACCCGGAGCAAAUCCCAAAAAACAGGUCUCAGUUCGGAUUGCAGGCUGCAACUCGCCUGCAUGAAGGCGGAAUCGCUAGUAAUCGCAGGUCAGCAUACUGCGGUGAAUACGUUCCCGGGCCUU